rnacentral:rRNA from 1 species
UACGUAGGGGGCAAGCGUUGUCCGGAUUUAUUGGGCGUAAAGAGCGUGUAGGCGGCCAGGUAGGUCCGCUGUGAAAACUCGAGGCUCAACCUCGAGAUGUCGGCGGAAACCAUCUGGCUAGAGUCCGGAAGAGGAGAGUGGAAUUCCUGGUGUAGCGGUGAAAUGCGCAGAUAUCAGGAAGAACACCCGUGGCGAAGGCGGCUCUCUAGUACGGUACUGACGCUGAGACGCGAAAGCGUGGGGAGCGAACAGG